CUUUAGUGGCGAACGGGUGCGUAAUACGUGAGAAUCUGCCCUUAGGAGAAGAAUAACUGCUGGAAACGGCUGCUAAAUCUUCAUAUGUCGAGAGAUGAAAUAGCUUAGGCUGCCUAAGGAUGAGCUCACGCCUGAUUAGCUAGUUGGUGAGGUAAUGGCUCACCAAGGCCACGAUCAGUAGCUGGUUUGAGAGAACGAUCAGCCACACUGGGACUGAGACACGGCCCAGACUCCUCCGGGAGGCAGCAGUGAGGAAUUUUCCGCAAUGGGCGAAAGCCUGACGGAGCAAUACCGCGUGAGGGAUGAAGGAUUUUGGUCUGUAAACCUCUUUUCUCAAGAAAGAAGUUCUGACGGUACUUGAGGAAUAAGCAUCGGCUAACUCCGUGCCAGCAGCCGCGGUAAUACGGGGGAUGCAAGCGUUAUCCGGAAUCAUUGGGCGUAAAGCGCCUGUAGGUUGUUUAAUAAGUCUGUUGUUAAAGACUAGGGCUUAACCCUAGAAAA
rnacentral:rRNA from 1 species